rnacentral:rRNA from 1 species
GACGAACGCUGGCGGCGUGCCUAAUACAUGCAAGUCGAGCGAACCGGCGGUUGGGUGAGUAACGCGUGGGUAACCCGUCCUUAAGUCUGGGAUCCCAUUUGGAAACAGAUGCCAAUACCGGAUAUUAAAGGAUGCACCUUCGAUGCCUUAGCUAGUUGGUAAGGUAACGGCUUACCAAGGCGAUGAUGCAUAGCCGAGUUGAGAGACUGAUCGGCCACAUUGGGACUGAGACACGGCCCAAACGCCUACGGGAGGCAGCAGUAGGGAAUCUUCCACAAUGGACGAAAGUCUGAGAGAGCAACGCCGCGUGAGUGAAGAAGGUUUUCGGAUCGUAAAGCUCUGUUGUUGGUGAAGCGGUAAUCAACCAGAAAGUCACGGCUAACUACGUGCCAGCAGCCGCGGUAAUAC